CUGCACCCCACCUGGUCUUUAGAAAGAGCAGAUGAGGAGAGCAAACCCAAGGAUGUUCUUCAAAUGUUACUCUGACAUUUAUAGUUGCAGAUGAAAAUAGAAAGUCUGUGAAUGUGGCUUUGCAGAUGAAUUGAAGAUGAAUCAAUCACUCAGGAAUCUUGUGCUUUGCAGAAAAGCGGACCUGUGAAGACUUUCUUUGCUGAGACAUGAAUGUGUGGAUGGGUGAUUUAAGUACUUCAGGACCUCAAGUUGAGAGCUACAUCUUCAAGUCUGCUCAAGGGCCGGUGCGGGGUCUGGAAGAGCUGGAGGGUGUGAUCCAAGUGAGCCGCCCAUUCCCUGCUGCAAUGCUCCCCGCUCCCUCUUCCAAGCCUUUCACGCACGGACUCAAACUCAGUUGUUGCUGAGCCCUGGAGAAGGAUUCAGGCUCAGUACAUUGGGAGCUCAGGCAGAUUUGGAUCUUGUUUGCCUCAGGACCACUGAGAUUUUGAUUAAUUAAGGCUUUAUUCCUUUUUCCUGCUUCAAUCUCCCUUCUAAUUUUCCAAUUUGAACUUACUUGAAUUUACCAGAUUGUACAGCCCUGCUUCAGGUAACCUGUUUGUUUGUGAAAUAAAGAAGUCCUCAUAAUAUGUAAGUGAUGCUGCAAAUCAUGCUGUCCUAGCACCAUUUCCCCCUUCCU
rnacentral:lncRNA from 1 species